rnacentral:lncRNA from 1 species
UAAGGCAAUGGCCAUGAAGAAGACAGGAGACAGAGUAGAAACAAGGGAAGAAGCUGAGUUGGUCCCAGGAGGAGGACUUGAAGUUCCAGGCGCGGUGGCGGUCGGAGUUCCAGGCGAGGUGGGCGUGGCAGCGGUCGGAGGCGUACUGGUGGUGGGGCUGGUAGCUACAGGCGUGGUGGUGGGACUCGGUCCAGGUGCGGGAACAGCAGCGGUACGGUUGUUCCCAUUUCUUACUUCGACGUUGAGCUUUUGCCCGCCGGAACAGUGACCGGGGAAAGCACAAAUGAAGUAAAAAUCGCCGGUCCUGUUAAGAGUAAUCCUUGCCGGUCCGGUGCUGACGGUU